rnacentral:rRNA from 1 species
UGGUGUAGCGGUGAAAUGCUUAGAUAUCACGAAGAACUCCGAUUGCGAAGGCAGCUCACUGGAGUGUAACUGACGCUGAUGCUCGAAAGUGUGGGUAUCAAACAGGAUUAGAUACCCUGGUAGUCCACACAGUAAACGAUGAAUACUCGCUGUUUGCGAUAUACAGUAAGCGGCCAAGCGAAAGCGUUAAGUAUUCCACCUGGGGAGUACGCCGGCAACGGUGAAACUCAAAGGAAUUGACGGGGGCCCGCACAAGCGGAGGAACAUGUGGUUUAAUUCGAUGAUACGCGAGGAACCUUACCCGGGCUUAAAUUGCAGAUGAAUUACGGUGAAAGCCGUAAGCCGCAAGGCAUCUGUGAAGGUGCUGCAUGGUUGUCGUCAGCUCGUGCCGUGAGGUGUCGGCUUAAGUGCCAUAACGAGCGCAACCCUUAUCGAUAGUUACUAGCAGGUCAUGCUGAGGACUCUAUUGAGACUGCCGUCGUAAGAUGUGAGGAAGGUGGGGAUGACGUCAAAUCAGCACGGCCCUUACGUCCGGGGCUACACACGUGUUACAAUGGGGGGUACAGAAGGCCGCUACCUGGUGACAGGAUGCCAAUCCCAAAAACCUCUCUCAGUUCGGAUCGAAGUCUGCAACCCGACUUCGUGAAGCUGGAUUCGCUAGUAAUCGCGCAUCAGCCAUGGCGCGGUGAAUACGUUCCCGGGCCUUGUACACACCGCCCGUCAAGCCAUGAAAGCCGGGGGUACCUGAAGUACGUAACCGCGAGGAGCGUCCUAGGGUAAAACUGGUGAUUGGGGCUAAGUCGUAACAAGGUAGCCGUACCGGAAGGUGCGGCUG